UACAUGGGUUAACAGCUUGUGUAUGAUGAACCUGAUAGUACCGUGAGGCUUCGGCUGAGCGGAUAGUGUUCCUAAUCAGACUUCCAAGAAAAUCCUCUAAGCUUCAGACAUGUGGUGCCCGUACCACAAACCGACACAGGUAGUCGAGGAGAGAAUCCUAAGGUGCUCGAGUGAUCCGUGGCUAGGGAACUAGGCAAAUUGAACCUGUAACUUCGGGAUAAAGGUUCCCCUGUUUAUCAAUGGGGGCGCAGAGAAAUGGCCCUGGCGUCUGUUUAACAAAAACACAAGGCUUUGCGAAAUUGAAAGAUGAAGUAUAAGGCCUGACACCUGCCCGGUGCCGGAAGGUUAAGAGGGGGAGUCAUUCUCAGCAAUGGGAAGAAGCUCUGAAUCGAAGCCCCGGUAAACGGCGGCCGUAACCAUAACGGUCCUAAGGUAGCGAAAUUCCUUGUCGGGUAAGUUCCGACCUGCACGAAUGGUGUAACGAUCUGGGCACUGUCUCAGCCACGAGCUCGGUGAAAUUGUAGUUCCGGUGAAGAUGCCGGAUACCCGCAACGGGACGGAAAGACCCCGUGAACCUUUACUAUAGCUUAACAUUGAUUUCGGGUAAGUGAUGUGUAGGAUAGGUCGGAGACUGUGAACCGGUUUCGCUAGGAAUCGGGGAGUCAACGUUGAAAUACGACCCUUCAUUUACCUGGAAUCUAAUCCCGGCUUCAGUCGGGAGACAUUGUUUGGUGGGUAGUUUGGCUGGGGUGGUCGCCUCCAAAAAAGUAACGGAGGCUCCUCAAGGUGCCCUCAGCACGAUUGGUAACCGUGCGGAGAGUGUAAUGGCACAAGGGCGCUUGACUGUGAGACUGACAAGUCGAUCAGGUACGAAAGUAGAGCAUAGUGAUCCGGUGGUUCCGUAUGGAAGGGCCAUCGCUCAAAGGAUAAAAGGUACUCCGGGAUAACAGGCUGAUCGCCGCCAAGAGCUCAUAUCGACGCGGCGGCUUGGCACCUCGAUGUCGGCUCGUCACAUCCUGGGGCUGAAGAAGGUCCCAAGGGUUCGGCUGUUCGCCGAUUAAAGUGGCACGCGAGCUGGGUUCAGAACGUCGUGAGACAGUUCGGUCCCUAUCUGUUGUGGGCGCUGGAGAUUUGAGAGAAACUGAUACUAGUACGAGAGGACCGUGUUGGACAGACCGCUAGUGUACCUGUUGUGGCGCCAGCUGCAUCGCAGGGUAGCUAUGUUUGGAACAGAUAAGCACUGAAAGCAUCUAAGUGCGAAGCUCGUCUCAAGAUGAGAUCUCCCUUAAGGGUCGUUGUAGACUACGACGUUGAUAGGCUGCAGGUGUAAAGGUGGCAACAUCAAAGCUGAGCAGUACUAAUUACUC
rnacentral:rRNA from 1 species